UAUGGUUUUCCCCCUAGUGAAGCCAGCAGCAAAGCUCUAGAGGAACCGCUGUUCCUAGGACCCCAGCACAAGAACGUGAGGUCUGCUGAUGUUUAGGUGAAGUUCUAUUAGGUGUCUUUUCUUAGUGGAAGCGUAAAAUGAGAAAAGGAAAGAGACUACUGUAUUCUGGUUAAGCGUGAUUCUUGCUGAUUCAGCUCUCGGACCUUUAAGUCACAAGUAGCAAAGCUGAGGAUCACAGAAAUGCACCUUAAAACCAUGCAGACAAGUUGCAGUUAAAAACACAGGCUUACUGGAAGAUGGAUACUACCCAGAGAGAAAAGCUGAAAAAAUCCUUUUGAUUUUAUCAAGUAUUGGAGGUUAGGCAAGACAGACCCCAGCAUCAGAGGAGAAUUUGCUUAUGGAUUGUUACUGGGAAAAGAAAGCAACAGUAAUCCAGUGAUGUGAAGAUGAUAAUGGAAAACUUGAUAGCUGGACUGCUAUGGUAAUUAACUAUGGAGCAGUUCAUAUUUUCCUUAAAGAAUGAGAAGAGGCCCAUCACGUCUUCUGAUUUCCUGUUCUCUUCCCUCUCGAAAGGAAAGGGUUAUUACCUGGGUUUGUGAUGUUUUAUGACUAUUGUUGACAUAGAUAUUCUUCAGGUUGGAGGCUGAUGCUAUCCUUAUAUUUUGUAUUCACGCUCUUCAAAGAGUCUGUACCUGCAUGUACUACUGUUCUUACUUUUAACCAGAGACUGGAAAUGUUCUGAAUUUUCUGAAUCUGUCAGACUAAAGUCAAUCUGCUUUUGAUUUAUGUUUUAAUUCCUUCUACAUUAUAGAUGUGCUAUUAGCUUCUCUUUAUUACUCAGUGCUCUCCUUGGUUACUCAUAGGUAAUGAGCUAUUCUUGUCCCCAGUAUGAGCCCCAGCAGCUUUUAUGAUUCUAAAAUGUAGGCCUUUAGUCCAGCAACUGUAUCGGUUUUAAGAUUUUAAUUAUCAAAUAGCAAAAAAAAAAAAAUAAAUAAAAUAAAAUAAAAUUAUUCAUUGAAAUGCUCGACUUUCUGGUAAGGCAAAAAAUAAAACAUAAAAAUUACUGAAUUAAAUGAAUAAAGCAGAAGGUUGUUCCUAUGCCAAAUUAUCAGCCAAUUCCUUAUUUCUUAUUUAAAUGCUCUGCAUACCAGCUUGGGGGGGGGAAAAAAAAAAAAAAAAAAAAAAAAUGAAAAAUUGGUUUUUGAAAAACUGAAAAAUAAUAUCAGCCUUUUGUUGCUAUUGUCAUGAAAAUUGCAUUCUUCAACAUUUCUAUGUUCAUAAGUUGAUCUUUGGUCACAGAGUUUGUGAUUGACACAUGGUGGCUGAGCAUUUAUUUUGGAAGAGAUGGAUGCUGGGUUGUUAUGCGUUCUGUCCACGUAUGAAUAGCAAAGUGUAUGAUGUAUUUUUUUGUUGUUUUCUAUAAUUUAAAAUCAAAUACUCUGUGAGGAAAAAAAAAUUGUAAAAGGGACUCUCAGAUGGUGUAAAAUGUGUUCACUCAGCUAAUAGGGCAUGAAGCUGACAGGGACGUGCUGACUUAAGUCAACUGAGGAUGCAACCAUUAGUGGUUACAGAAAAGUAUAAAGACACAUCACUAUAAUGUCUAAAAGUUCAGCAUUUUAUACUGCUUAUAGAAAUGCACCAGCUGCUGACAGUUAAGUUCUACUGGGUUGAAAUUUAACUUAAGACAUUGAUUAUUUUUGUGCAUCAUAUUUGCAGUUUUUUAUUCUAUCAACAGCUGUAAUGGUACUUUGAAGCUGUUGAUUCAGUACUGUUUAUAAGAUAUGGUUUUUUUGUAGCACAGCCUGUUUCAGAUCAAUAAAAUAUGAAGAUAAGUGGUGAUAAAUGAGUACUUUCAUAAUGAAUACUUUCAUAAAUCUAGCCUUAUUAUCAUACUGGUUUAUUGUGUUUGUCCUUCAGAGAACAAACGAGAUACCUCAUCCUUUAUGUCUAGUAGCAUGGCUAUAGUUCUUUGCACUACAAAAUACACCUAUAUCAGAUUUCUUAUUAAGGGGAUUAUCACAGAAGCACUGUGCUAUCUGGCAAAUGAAUCAUAGACCUAAGAAUUUAUACUAUUACUACUCUUACUAGAAAAUCCAUUUAAUCCAUGCGUUCCUGUUUUCCUGUCAACAGAAGGGAACGCUUAUUUAAUCUCUCACAGACUGAUACAAAGCUUAAUCAAUACAUACAGCAUUCUACCAGUGUUAGUUCUUGUUUGGAUCACUAAAGCUUCAACAGUUUUUCCAAAAACCUAGAAUUUAGGCUUGAUAGUGACAUUUGUGUUUAGAAAAAAAGUAUAUCUAAACCAUCGAUUUUAAACCUACAGCUUUUAUGUUAGAU